GUGCUUGCUUCAGUAGCACAUAUAUCAAAAUUGGAAUGAUGCAGAAAAGAUUAAUAUGGCCCCUGCUCAAGGAUGACAUGCAAAUUUGUGAAGCAUUCCAUAUAAAC
rnacentral:snRNA from 1 species